rnacentral:rRNA from 1 species
CACGUAGGGCGCAAGCGUUGUCCGGAAUUAUUGGGCGUAAAGAGCUCGUAGGCGGUCUGUUGCGUCCGCUGUGAAAACCCGGGGCUUAACCCUGGGCUGGCAGUGGAUACGGACAGACUAGAGGUAGGUAGGGGAGAAUGGAAUUCCCGGUGUAGCGGUGAAAUGCGCAGAUAUCGGGAGGAACACCGGUGGCGAAGGCGGGUCUCUGGGCAAUUCCUGACGCUGAGGCGCGAAAGCGUGGGGAGCAAACGGG